rnacentral:rRNA from 1 species
GUCCCAGCAGCCGCGGUAAUACGGAGGGUGCAAGCGUUGUUCGGAAUUAUUGGGCGUAAAGCGCGUGUAGGCGGUCUUUUAAGUCUGAUGUGAAAGCCCCGGGCUCAACCUGGGAAGUGCAUUGGAAACUGGGAGACUUGAGUACGGGAGAGGAGAGUGGAAUUCCUAGUGUAGGAGUGAAAUCCGUAGAUAUUAGGAGGAACACCGGUGGCGAAGGCGGCUCUCUGGACCGAUACUGACGCUGAGACGCGAAAGCGUGGGUAGCAAACAGGAUUAGAUACCCCGGUAGUCCAUGCCGUAAACGAUGUCUACUAGCCGUUGGGGUCUUUGAGACUUUAGUGGCGCAGCUAACGCGAUAAGUAGACCGCCUGGGGAGUACGGUCGCAAGACUAAAACUCAAAUGAAUUGACGGGGGCCCGCACAAGCGGUGGAGCAUGUGGUUUAAUUCGAUGCAACGCGAAGAACCUUACCUGGUCUUGACAUAGUAAGAACUUUCCAGAGAUGGAUUGGUGCCUUCGGGAGCUUACAUACAGGUGCUGCAUGCCUGUCGUCAGCUCGUGUCGUGAGAUGUUGGGUUAAGUCCCGCAACGAGCGCAACCCUUAUCAUCAGUUGCCAUCAUUAAGUUGGGCACUCUGAUGAAACUGCCGGUGUCAAACCGGAGGAAGGUGGGGAUGACGUCAAGUCCUCAUGGCCCUUAUGUCCAGGGCUACACACGUGCUACAAUGGCCGGUACAAAGAGUCGCAAUGCCGCGAGGUGGAGCCAAUCUCAAAAAGCCGGUCUCAGUUCGGAUUGGAGUCUGCAACUCGACUCCAUGAAGUCGGAAUCGCUAGUAAUCGCGGAUCAGAAUGCCGCGGUGAAUACGUUCCCGGGCNUUGUACACACCGCCCGUCACACCACG